UGCGUAGGUGGUGAGGUAAGUCGGAUGCGAAAUCUCGGAGCUCAACUCCGAAAUGGCAUUGGAAACUACCUCGCUCGAGGAAUGGAGGGGGGACUGGAAUUCUCGGUGUAGCAGUGAAAUGCGUAGAUAUCGAGAGGAACACCAGUGGCGAAGGCGAGUCCCUGGACAUCUCCUGACACUGAGGCACGAAAGCUAGGGGAGCAAACA
rnacentral:rRNA from 1 species